rnacentral:lncRNA from 1 species
UUUAUUUUAGAUCUUUCGGAUCCAGAGUCACCCCGAAGGAAUCUAAAAUGUACGCUAAUUUUCAUUCUUUACCUCUGAGGUAAAGAAUUUUUUUUAAAAAGCAAAAAGUUAGAUGUGUUUUUUCAAAAUUAUUCUUUUAAAUGAUUUUAAGUUCAUUCUGUAGCGUCGCUGUAAAGGUCGUGUGUUUCUGAUCUUUAAGCGAUACCUCGAACAAUUAGUCACCUAAUUUUUUCGCAGUUGGACUGAUCUGCUCACCCUGCAUUCAUUAAUUUUUGCAGUCCGUAUGCCUAUCAUACGUAUUCAUCUCCACUGUUGCGUAUUUUAGCCGUUUCAGGAAAGUGUUAUUUUUAUUUAUUUUUUUUUAAAGAAAAAGAAAAAAAGGUAGGUAAGAAAAAAGGCAGGUAACAGUCCAUUUUUCACCGUUUGUGGAUUCACGGCGUGUCGCGGAUCUACGAAACGGUUUUUGCGUGGAUCCACGGCAUGCGCCAUUUAUCCAUAGACACCGCUGUAUACUUUUUUUGUUCAUUUGUCCACAGUAACACAAACUUUCGUGGGUAUAAAUGGCAAGCUGUGGAUGAACAACACUGUGGGUGGAUCCACGAAACAGGCAGUAUGCGUAGAUCCAUACGAUAUGCCAAACGUCCACUUCGUAAUUGACAAUUCUAAACAUUAAAUUAUUAACAUCCUUAAAGUUGAGAAUGAGUUUCAGCGUAAAACAAACCAUAAGCAGAAAAGAGCUAUUGCGUUUUCCCCAAGUAUGCGAAACUGGUCAUUUGGUUGUCAGGCUAAGCAAGAAGAACACGGUUUUCUUUAAAGGACACACGAGCGUCUUCGGCACUUCGGCAGAUAUAUUUUUUGUGACAUGCCACAAGCGGCAACGUCCUAACAAAGUAAUAAAUCACUCCCGUGCACCAGAGGGGAGCAUCUUGGAUGUCGGAUGUCGAUGGGUGCAGAUGCAUGCGUGACGCGAUGGGCCGGCCUUUUGAUGCGAGGGUGAGAAUGUAGAGGUCGGUCAAAUAAGAGUAAAAAUGCGGCAAACCUUGGAAAAGGGUCUUCUGGACUCAUUCUCUACAGGAGAUUUAUGAGAAUAUAAUGAACUAAUUGUAAGAAAAACUCGCCAAAAUUCUCUCAAUUGUUGACUGAAAAUUGACCAAAGAAAUAAACGGAAUUUUCGAAAAAAUAUGAUAUAUUUCCGAUACCGCUCAUCUCUCAUUCAAGUUAAACGCAGAUUAUAUUAUGUAUCUCACGGGAAUAAUUGUGGAAAAUACGUCGCGGAGAACGCACUUGCUAGUUUGCCCUAGGUAAAGUUGGCUAUAGGAGCUGCGUUUCAAAAUACCAUAAGAAUUCUUACAGCCGGCUAUUUAUUUCUUUAUUCAUUAUAUUUACGUACAUGAAAGCCCCAUUAUUGAAGCUAUGGCACAAGUCGAAAAAACACUAGGAAUUACAAUAUACAAUAAUUGAAAAUAUAAAUUACAAUUGUAAAAUGUUAAAUUAAGUGGUGGUUGGUAGAAUGUCAUUCAACAACUGAAGUCAGAAAUUCGUUUAAAUCAUAAAAUGCCUUGGUUAAGAGGAGAUUUCGAAGUAGAUUGAAGAAUUUCUUUACUUCACCAUCGCAGAGUUGUUGCUUGAUGUUCCAGGGCAGAGCAUUUAUAAUUUGGCUAUGCAAAGCGAAUAGAAAAGCAUAAAGAGGGCUAUAGAAAGAAGAAAAUCACACAGCCGGUGUAUACGAAGCGAUAAAAAAUUAUACAGCCGG